AACGAACGCUGGCGGCAUGCCUAACACAUGCAAGUCGAACGAAGGCUUCGGCCUUAGUGGCGCACGGGUGCGUAACGCGUGGGAAUCUGCCCUUGGCUUCGGAAUAACAGUUAGAAAUGACUGCUAAUACCGGAUGAUGUCUUCGGACCAAAGAUUUAUCGGCCAGGGAUGAGCCCGCGUAGGAUUAGGUAGUUGGUGGGGUAAAGGCCUACCAAGCCGACGAUCCUUAGCUGGUCUGAGAGGAUGAUCAGCCACACUGGGACUGAGACACGGCCCAGACUCCUACGGGAGGCAGCAGUGGGGAAUAUUGGACAAUGGGCGCAAGCCUGAUCCAGCAAUGCCGCGUGAGUGAUGAAGGCCUUAGGGUCGUAAAGCUCUUUUACCCGGGAUGAUAAUGACAGUACCGGGAGAAUAAGCCCCGGCUAACUCCGUGCCAGCCGCCGCCGUAA
rnacentral:rRNA from 1 species